UGGUCUUGACAUCCCGAGAAGUCCCUUGAAAGAGGGAUGCGCCCCGCAAGGGGAGCUUGGAGACAGGUGCUGCACGGCUGUCGUCAGCUCGUGUCGUGAGAUGUUGGGUUAAGUCCCGCAACGAGCGCAACCCCCGCCGUCAGUUGCCAGCAUUAAGUUGGGCACUCUGACGGGACUGCCGGUGUCAAACCGGAGGAAGGCGGGGAUGACGUCAAGUCAUCAUGGCCUUUAUGACCAGGGCUACACACGUACUACAAUGGCCGGCACAGAGGGCUGCGACAGGGCGACCUGAAGCCAAUCCCUUAAAACCGGUCUCAGUCCGGAUCGGAGUCUGCAACUCGGCUCCGUGAAGUGGAAUCGCUA
rnacentral:rRNA from 1 species